rnacentral:rRNA from 1 species
AGGUCUUGACAUCCCGACGACCGCUCUAGAGAUAGAGUUUUUCUUCGGAACGUCGGUGACAGGUGGUGCAUGGUUGUCGUCAGCUCGUGUCGUGAGAUGUUGGGUUAAGUCCCGCAACGAGCGCAACCCCUAUAACUAGUUGCCAGCAUUAAGAUGGGGACUCUAGUUAGACUGCCGGUGACAAACCGGAGGAAGGUGGGGAUGACGUCAAAUCAUCAUGCCCCUUAUGACCUGGGCUACACACGUGCUACAAUGGAUGGUACAACGAGCAGCGAACUCGCGAGGGUAAGCGAAUCUCUAAAAGCCAUUCUCAGUUCGGAUUGUAGUCUGCAACUCGACUACAUGAAGCCGGAAUCGCUAGUAAUCGCGGAUCAGCACGCCGCGGUGAAUACGUUCCCGGGUC